GCAUUAAUGGGGUAGUGGUAACCUGGGUCGUUGCCAUUCGAGUUAAGCUCGACCCGCCGGGGGUUCGAUUCCCUCUUAAUGCA